rnacentral:rRNA from 1 species
UGACAAGAAAUAACAAUACAAGGCAGUUAAAAUGCUUUGUAAUUGGAAUGAUAGAAAUUUAAACACUUUUUAAAGUAUCAAUUGGAGGGCAAGUCUGGUGCCAGCAGCCGCGGUAAUUCCAGCUCCAAUAGCGUAUAUUAAAAUUGUUGCAGUUAAAAAGCUCGUAGUUGAAUUUCUGUUAAAAAUAACCGGUCUGCUUUUAAUAAAAGUGGUAUCUUGGUGUGUUUUUAGCAAUAAUGUCCUUUGAAAUGUUUUUUACUUUAUUGUAAUAAAUAAUAUUCAGGAUUUUUACUUUGAGAAAAUUAGAGUGUUUCUAGCAGGCUAACGCUUUGAAUACUGCAGCAUGGAAUAAUAAGAUAGGAUUUUAGUUCUACAUUAUUGGUUUUAAGAACUAAAUUAAUGAUUGAUAGGGACAGUUGGGGGCAUUUGUAUUUAACUGUCAGAGGUGAAAUUCUUAGAUUUGUUAAAGACAAACUACUGCGAAAGCAUUUGCCAAAGAUGUUUUCAUUAAUCAAGAACGAAAGUUAGGGGAUCGAAGACGAUCAGAUACCGUCGUAGUCUUAACUAUAAACUAUGCCGACUAGAGAU